GAUGAAGAACGUAGCGAAAUGCGAUAAGUAGUGUGAAUUGCAGAAUUCAGUGAAUCAUCGAAUCUUUGAACGCACAUUGCGCCUCCUGGCAUUCCGGGAGGCAUGCCUGUUCGAGCGUCAUCAAACCCCAUCGUGCAAAUGAAUUAUUUUUUUGCGCGGAAGUGACGAUUGAGCGAGAAUAACAAAUCCUCUCGCACCUCGUCGAAAUGAUUGCGGGCGGAAUUUGGGAUCGGGUUCCUCGGCGUAGUGUAUCAAUGCAUAUUUAUGCAACUUGCCGCGGAGUUGAGCCUGACCCACGCGUUCUCGCCGUACAAACACCUCAUUACUUUACAAGUUUUUGACCUCGGAUCAGGUAGGGAUACCCGCUGAACUUAAGCAUAUCAAUAAGCGGAGGA
rnacentral:misc_RNA from 1 species